GUCAAAAUUAUUUUCAAUUUUGUAGAAUUGUCACCUGUGAAUUUUGUUCUUUUCUGUGUUCAUGUUUAUGUUUACGGAACUGUUAGCUAGGCUAGACACAUAUCAAGAUCCUACCAUUUAUGCAUAAGAGUCUUUUAUUUUAAUUCUAUUUUUCGUUUUUAGUUUUUUUGCUCGACUUGUGUUGUCUAUUUUAUGAUGAUUCCAGACCUCUGAUCCGAAUUAUAGGCGAUCGAUUCCCAUGGCAAGUGAAAAGUGCUAUUUUGUCAACUUUGACCAUCAUAAUAGCAAAAGGUGGGAUGGCACUUAAACCUUUUCUCCUACAGCCACAAACCACCUUUGUCAAAUUCUUGCAGGACAACCCAAGGUAAGACUUGUUUUAUACUACUGUCUUUUGUUGAUUAUUCGACUUACAAGGGCAUUCUCGUCAAUUUGCAGGAGUGUUCGUUCAAGUGCUGCUCUUGCACUUGGUAAGCUUAGUGCAUUAAGCACAAGAGUUGAUCCCCUAGUUAGGGGUCUUCUAUCUAACCUACAUGCAUCAGACGGUGGGGUUCGUGAGGCAAUAUUGGUCGCCCUAAAAGGUGUUGUCAAGCAUGCUGGAAAGAGUGUUAGUGGUCCCGUUAAGACACGUGUUUUUGAUCACUCAAAUGAGUUGAUCUAGAACGAUGAUGACCAAAUACGAAGCUCUUCAGCAAGAAUUCUAGGCAUCAUAUCAGAGGUGAAAAAGAAACGAGCUGGUCGGGAUGGAAAAAUAGAUGGGCUGGUCCCUCCCCAAAGUAACCACAUAUGGUAACUCAUAUCGUGUCACUGGACCAUCUGGUUGUGUAUAAAAGCUCAAUUGCACUGCCUCCUGCCACAAUAAUAAAAUAUAAUAAAAAGAUCUUAAGUUUUGUAUGAAGAAACAAUAGAAAUUAGUCAAAUUUAUUACUACCUUGUCCAAUUUUCUCUCAAUGAACAACAAUUGCAAACUGUAGUCACCCUUGGGCAGUUUUGCCGACUCCGGGUACACAUCACCCAUGGCGUACACACGCUGUAAUAAUAAAUAAAUUAAUAAUUAAAAAAUAUGACAUCUAUAGCAAGGAAAUGACUUGAUUAAAAAAUAAAAA